rnacentral:rRNA from 1 species
CCUACGGGUGGCAGCAGUGGGGAAUAUUGCACAAUGGGGGAAACCCUGAAGCAGCGACGCCGCGUGAGGGAAGAAGGAUUUCGGUACGUAAAGCCCUAUCAGCAGGGAAGAAAAUGACGGUAUCUGACUAAUAAGCCCCGGCUAACUACGUGCCAGCAGCCGCGGUAAUACGGAGGGGGCAAGUGUUAUCCGGAUUUACUGGGUGUAAAGGGAGCGUAUAGGGCAGCGCAAGUCUGGAGUGAAAUCCCAUGGCUUAACCAUGGAACUGCUUUGGAAACUGUGCAGCUAGAGUGCAGGAGAGGUAAGCGGAAUUCCUAGUGUAGCGGUGAAAUGCGUAGAUAUUAGGAGGAACACAAGUGGCGAAGGCGGCUUACUGGACUGUAACUGACGUUGAGGCUCGAAAGCGUGGGAGCAAACAGGAUUAGAUACCCCGUAGUC